AAGUCGUAACAAGGUUUCCGUAGGUGAACCUGCGGAAGGAUCAUUAAAAGAUAUGGCAUGUCCCUUGUGGAUAUUACCAAUCAACCCAUUCUGAGUACCUUACCUGUUGCUUCCACACAGUGUCAGUGCAUUAGUACUGACAUUCAGACGAUAGUGAAAACUUAUCCGAUGGAGAUGUGUGGAGGAUAUACAUUAAACUCUUGCAUUACCAUGUAUUCUGUCUGAUUAUGUUUAAUACAAAAUAUUAAAACUUUCAACAACGGAUCUCUUGGUUCUC
rnacentral:misc_RNA from 1 species